GACGAACGCUGGCGGCGUGCUUAACACAUGCAAGUCGAACGAAGAGCGGUGGAAGCUUGCUUCUAUCAAUCUUAGUGGCGAACGGGUGAGUAACGCGUAAUCAACCUGCCCUUCAGAGGGGGACAACAGUUGGAAACGACUGCUAAUACCGCAUACGAUCUAAUCUCGGCAUCGAGGAUAGAUGAAAGGUGGCCUCUACAUGUAAGCUAUCACUGAAGGAGGGGAUUGCGUCUGAUUAGCUAGUUGGAGGGGUAACGGCCCACCAAGGCGAUGAUCAGUAGCCGGUCUGAGAGGAUGAACGGCCACAUUGGGACUGAGACACGGCCCAGACUCCUACGGGAGGCAGCAGUGGGGAAUCUUCCGCAAUGGACGAAAGUCUGACGGAGCAACGCCGCGUGAGUGAUGACGGCCUUCGGGUUGUAAAGCUCUGUUAAUCGGGACGAAAGGCCUUCUUGCGAAUAGUGAGAAGGAUUGACGGUACCGGAAUAGAAAGCCACGGCUAACUACGUG
rnacentral:rRNA from 1 species